rnacentral:misc_RNA from 1 species
AGCCUUCCGUUCACGCCGCAUUUUGCCUUCGCCUUUUGCCGCGCCUUUACGUCUACCAACAUGAUGAAAUCUGUCGGUCUUGUCCUUCUUCUGAUUGCAACCUUUGCCUACUCCAGUGUUGAAGGAAAACCCAGAAAAUGUGGAUCAUCAGUGGAAAACGCCAUAUUUGAGAAUCAAGACCUCAAAGAUGCCUUGAGCGCCUGCAAGUCGGAUCCAAAGGGAAGUGCAGCCUUGGCCGCCCUUGCCCUCACAGCUACCUGCAGGGGUUACAACUUCAAGGUGGCCCGUGGCGACAAGUGCGAUGAAGUUGUAGCUCCCUACAUGAAAUGUGUAGCUGGGAAACUUGGUUACUUGAAAGCUGAUGGCUCCAUCGACGGCGCAAAAAUCCUAGCACAGUACAGGAGUUACGCCGUCGCUCGCGGUAGUAUCUGCAGAAAUGAGUACGACUUCGGUGCGCGGCACUGUGGCACUAGCAUCAGCAACUACGCGUUCCUGGGGAGGGCCGAAUGCCUCAUCACGGCGAUGUACCAGUACCCUGGUUGAUUUGCGCAAUCUGGUCCUCAUUCCUUCAUCUGACUGGCGGCUUUGAAGUGUUCACAACAGGUUGACAAAGUUUCUGAACACUUCAAAAUUGGAACUUGGAACUUUCACACAGCUUGGACGAAAUAAUUUACAAUAUAUUAUGAGCAUUA